rnacentral:rRNA from 1 species
GCUAAUACCGUAUAACAAUAGCAACCGCAUGGUUGCUACUUAAAAGAUGGUUCUGCUAUCACUAAGAGAUGGUCCCGCGGUGCAUUAGUUAGUUGGUGAGGUAAUGGCUCACCAAGACGAUGAUGCAUAGCCGAGUUGAGAGACUGAUCGGCCACAAUGGGACUGAGACACGGCCCAUACUCCUACGGGAGGCAGCAGUAGGGAAUCUUCCACAAUGGGCGAAAGCCUGAUGGAGCAACGCCGCGUGUGUGAUGAAGGGUUUCGGCUCGUAAAACACUGUUGUAAGAGAAGAAUGACAUUGAGAGUAACUGUUCAAUGUGUGACGGUAUCUU